rnacentral:rRNA from 1 species
GAUGAACGCUGACAGAAUGCUUAACACAUGCAAGUCUUUGGCGAAGCUGUGCUUGCACAGCCUAGCCAAGGCGGACGGGUGAGUAACGCGUAAGGAACUUGCCCUGCAGUCAGGGAUAACAGACGGAAACGACUGAUAAGACCUGGUAAAGUCAGGCGGACUCAUGUCCAGCCUGAUGAAAAGAGAUGCUGCAGGAGAGCCUUGCGUCCUAUUAGCUUGUUGGUGGGGUAACGGCCCACCAAGGCGAUGAUAGGUAGCCGGCCUGAGAGGGUGGACGGCCACAAGGGGACUGAGAUACGGCCCUUACUCCUACGGGAGGCAGCAGUGGGGAAUAUUGGACAAUGGGGACAACCCUGAUCCAGCAAUUCUGUGUGCACGAUGAAGGUUUUCGGAUUGUAAAGUGCUUUCAGCAGGGAAGAAAAAAAUGACGGUACCUGCAGAAGAAGCGACGGCUAAAUACGUG